CAUGAACGCUAGCGGGAGGCCUAACACAUGCAAGCCGAGCGGUAUUGUUUCUUCGGAAAUGAGAGAGCGGCGUACGGGUGCGGAACACGUGUGCAACCUGCCUUUAUCUGGGGGAUAGCCUUUCGAAAGGAAGAUUAAUACUCCAUAACAUAUUGAACGGCAUCGUUUAAUAUUGAAAGCUCCGGCGGAUAGAGAUGGGCACGCGCAAGAUUAGUUAGUUGGUGAGGUAACGGCUCACCAAGGCGAUGAUCUUUAGGGGUCCUGAGAGGGUGAUCCCCCACAGUGGUACUGAGACACGGACCAGACUCCUACGGGAGGCAGCAGUGAGGAAUAUUGGUCAAUGGGUGGAAGCCUGAACCAGCCAUCCCUCGUGAAGGACGACUGCCCUAUGGGUUGUAAACUUCUUUUGUAUAGGGAUAAACCUACCCUCGUGAGGGUAGCUGAAGGUACUAUACGAAUAAGCACCGGCUAACUCCGUGCCAGCCGCCGCCGUAAAAC
rnacentral:rRNA from 1 species